GGGCUUGUAGUCAAUUUAUGAUUCCGGGCUUUUGACUUGGAGGUCGGGUUGGUUCCCGCGGGCCCG
rnacentral:tRNA from 1 species